rnacentral:rRNA from 1 species
AGCGAACGCUGGCGGCGUGCCUAACACAUGCAAGUCGAACGUGAAAGGGAGCAAUCCAAGCAAAGGGGUGUACCGGUGGGGAACACGUUGGUUAAUGUACCCAAAAUCUGGGAUAAACGGGCGAAAGGCCUGCCUAUGCCGGGUUGGGGGAAGGAAUCCCGAAUUGGGGUUUUCCGGAAAGGGAGUCGGUAAAAAGGUCUUCGGUUUGGGAAGAGCCUCGGUCCCAUCAGUCAGUUGGUGAGGUAAAAACUUACCAAGGGGAUGAGGGGUAGCGGGUCUGCGAGGACGAUCAGCCACGCUGGAACUGGAACACGGUCCAGACUCCUGCGGGAGGGAGCAGUGGGGAAUCUUGAGCAAUGGACGAAGUUCUGACGCAGCAGCGCCGCGUGAGUGAAGAAGGCCUUCGGGUUGUAAAGCUCUGUCGGGUGGGACGAAAAUGCUUGGAGUUCACAGCUCCAGGAACUGACGGUACCACUAAAGGAAGCACCGGCUAACUCCGUG